rnacentral:rRNA from 1 species
CCGUAACUAUAACGGUCCUAAGGUAGCGAAAUUCCUUGUCGGGUAAGUUCCGACCCGCACGAAAGGCGUAAUGAUUUGAGCACUGUCUCGACAAUGCAUCCGGUGAAAUUGAAGUACCAGUGAAGAUGCUGGUUACCCGCGCCAGGACGGAAAGACCCCAUGGAGCUUUACUCCAGUUUGGUACUGGGAUUCGGUACUGCAUGUACAGGAUAGGUGGGAGACGAAGAAGUUAGGACGCCAGUCUUAACAGAGUCGCUGUUGGGAUACCACCCUUGCAGUAUUGGGUUUCUAACCAGCCGCUGUGAACCAGCGGUGGGACAAUGCCAGGCGGGGAGUUUGACUGGGGCGGUCGCCUCCGAAAGGGUAUCGGAGGCGCUCAAAGGUUCCCUCAGAAUGGUUGGAAACCAUUCGAAGAGUGCAAAGGCAGAAGGGAGCUUGACUGCGACACCGACGGGUGGAGCAGGUACGAAAGUAGGACUUAGUGAUCCGGUGGUAUAAAGUGGGAUUGCCAUCGCUCAACGGAUAAAAGCUACCCUGGGGAUAACAGGCUUAUCACUCCCAAGAGUUCACAUCGACGGAGUGGUUUGGCACCUCGAUGUCGGCUCAUCGCAUCCUGGGGCUGUAGCAGGUCCCAAGGGUUGGGCUGUUCGCCCAUUAAAGCGGUACGCGAGCUGGGUUCAGAACGUCGUGAGACAGUUCGGUCCCUAUCCGGCGCGGGCGUAGGAUAUCUGAGGGGAGCUGGCCUUAGUACGAGAGGACCGGGCUGGACGGACCACUGGUGCAUCAGCUGGAUACCAAAUCCAUAGCUGGGUAGCCAAGUCCGGAAGGGAUAAACGCUGAAGGCAUCUAAGCGUGAAGCCCCCCCCAAGAUGAGAUGUCCCUGUCUAUAAGACAGUAAGACCCCUGAAAGAGUAUCAGGUAGAUAGGGCAGAGGUGGAAGCACGGUAACGUGUGGAGCUGACUGUUACUAAUCGGUCGAGGGCUUGACCAA